ACAUAUUCGACAAUACAUACAAAAAGUUCAAUCCCAUAAGAUUACAUUCUUUGAUCCAAAAUCAAGGUCUAGACAGCAAAUAUGGCCCCCGUUUGCAAAGUUGGUUUCUUCACCGUCCUCCUUGUGUGUGGUAUUUUCCUAUUGGGAAGCAAUAUGGAGCUUGGAAAUGCUCAGAGUUGCACCCGGGAAUGCAAUCCUAAUGCAGCCUAUAUGAUCUGCCCACCUAAUGACAGGACUGAACCCGAUUGUAUUAAUUGUUGUCGAGCUACAAACAACGGCUGUCAACUCUUUGAUUCCAAUGAUUCGCCACUUUGCACUUAGACUAGGUCUUUUGCGAGGUCGUAUCAUCUCAAAUGUUUAAAUAAUGUAAUCUCAACGAUAAUAAUAGAGAUGUCUUAAUCAUCUAUGUAGGUGGAAUAAGAUUGUAAGACUCUUUUGAAUAACUAUGCAUGGGGUGAGACUACUAGUAUAGUCUAUUGCCUUCAUUGUAAUCAAACCUCACCAUUGUAGUGUGGUUUUGUUGUUGUUAAAUGUGAACUAUUUGGGUUGUUAUUACGUCUGUGAACUAUUCUGUUUGAAUACGAGGAAGAUUUAAUUUGGCAA